GGGAAGGUGGCUCAGUGGUAGAGUGCUUGCCUUGCAUGCAUGAGGCCCUGGGUUCGAUUCCCCCCCCCCA
rfam:Dipodomys ordii contig_7003, whole genome shotgun sequence.